rnacentral:rRNA from 1 species
AGUGAACGCUGGCGGUAGGCCUAACACAUGCAAGUCGAACGGCAGCACAGUAAGAGCUUGCUCUUACGGGUGGCGAGUAGCGGACGGGUGAGGAAUACAUCGGAAUCUACUUUUUCGUGGGGGAUAACGUAGGGAAACUUACGCUAAUACCGCAUACGACCUACGGGUGAAAGCAGGGGAUCUUCGGACCUUGCGCGAUUGAAUGAGCCGAUGUCGGAUUAGCUAGUUGGCGGGGUAAAGGCCCACCAAGGCGACGAUCCGUAGCUGGUCGGAGAGGAUGAUCAGCCACCCUGGAACUGAGACACGGUCCAGACUCCUACGGGAGGCAGCAGUGGGGAAUAUUGGACAAUGGGCGCAAGCCUGAUCCAGCCAUACCGCGUGGGUGAAGAAGGCCUUCGGGUUGUAAAGCCCUUUUGUUGGGAAAGAAAAGCAGCAGGUUAAUACCCCGCUGUUCUGACGGUACCCAAAGAAUAAGCACCGGCUAACUUCGUG